CAAUAGCGUAUAUUAAAGUUGUUGCAGUUAAAAAGCUCGUAGUUGGAUUUCUGGUGGGAGCGAUCGGUCUGGCGCUUAGCGCGAGUACUUGCAUCGUCUCCGGCCAUCCUUGGGGAGAGUCUGUCUGGCAUUAAGUUGUCGGGCAGAGGAUCCUCAUCGUUUACUGUGGAAAAAUUAGAGUGUUCAAAGCAGGCUUAUGCCGUUGAAUAUAUUAGCAUGGAAUAAUAAGAUAGGACUUUGGUACUAUUUUGUUGGUUUGCGCACCAAAGUAAUGAUUAAUAGGGACAGUUGGGGGCAUUCGUAUUCCGUUGUCAGAGGUGAAAUUCUUGGAUUUACGGAAGACGAACUACUGCGAAAGCAUUUACCAAGGAUGUUUUCAUUAA
rnacentral:rRNA from 1 species